UACGGAGGGGGCUAGCGUUAUUCGGAAUUACUGGGCGUAAAGCGCACGUAGGCGGCUUUGCAAGUUAGAGGUGAAAGCCCGGGGCUCAACCCCGGAAUUGCCUUUAAAACUGCAUCGCUAGAAUUGUGGAGAGGUAAGUGGAAUUCCGAGUGUAGAGGUGAAAUUCGUAGAUAUUCGGAAGAACACCAGUGGCGAAGGCGACUUACUGGACACAUAUUGACGCUGAGGUGCGAAAGCGUGGGGAGCA
rnacentral:rRNA from 1 species